GAUGAACGCUGGCGGCGUGCCUAAUACAUGCAAGUCGAGCGAACAGACGAGGAGCUUGCUCCUUCGACGUUAGCGGCGGACGGGUGAGUAACACGUAGGUAACCUACCUAUAAGACUGGGAUAACUUCGGGAAACCGGAGCUAAUACCGGAUAAUAUUUCGAACCGCAUGGUUCGAUAGUGAAAGAUGGCUUUGCUAUCACUUAUAGAUGGACCUGCGCCGUAUUAGCUAGUUGGUAAGGUAACGGCUUACCAAGGCAACGAUACGUAGCCGACCUGAGAGGGUGAUCGGCCACACUGGAACUGAGACACGGUCCAGACUCCUACGGGAGGCAGCAGUAGGGAAUCUUCCGCAAUGGGCGAAAGCCUGACGGAGCAACGCCGCGUGAGUGAUGAAGGUCUUCGGAUCGUAAAACUCUGUUAUUAGGGAAGAACAAACGUGUAAGUAACUGUGCACGUCUUGACGGUACCUAAUUAGAAAGCCACGGCUAACUACGUG
rnacentral:rRNA from 1 species